rnacentral:sRNA from 1 species
UCCUAUUCGGGAAGGAUGAGAAGCUUCGACCAAGGUUCGAUUCGAGCGUUAGCGAGAAAGCGUUGCCGCAGGCAACGACCCGAAGGGCGAAGCGCGCAGCGCUGAGUAAUCCUUCCCCCACCACCA